rnacentral:rRNA from 1 species
AAUAGAACCCCGGUAGUCCACGCCGUAAACGGUGGGCACUAGGUGUGGGCGACAUUCCACGUCGUCCGUGCCGCAGCUAACGCAUUAAGUGCCCCGCCUGGGGAGUACGGCCGCAAGGCUAAAACUCAAAGGAAUUGACGGGGGUCCCGCGACAAGCGGCGGAGCAUGUGGCUUAAUUCGACGCAACGCGAAGAACCUUACCAAGGCUUGACAUACACCGGAAACGUCCAGAGAUGGGCGCCCCCUUGUGGUCGGUGUACAGGUGGUGCAUGGCUGUCGUCAGCUCGUGUCGUGAGAUGUUGGGUUAAGUCCCGCAACGAGCGCAACCCUUGUCCCGUGUUGCCAGCAGGCCCUUGUGGUGCUGGGGACUCACGGGAGACCGCCGGGGUCAACUCGGAGGAAGGUGGGGACGGCGUCAAGUCAUCAUGCCCCUUAUGUCUUGGGCUGCACACGGUGCUACAAUGGCCGGUACAAUGAGCUGCGAUACCGCGAGGUGGAGCGAAUCUCAAAAAGCCGGUCUCAGUUCGGAUUGGGGUCUGCAACGUCCG